GGUCGCUUCUCGCAGGCGGCGCGCUUGCUGGGUCACAGUGAGGCGGCUCCGCGCAGGCGCAGCCGGGCGGGCGAGGAGCGGGGAAGCUGACUCAGGGCUGCGGCCGGGGUCCUGCGGGGUAGGAGCGCGAGGCCGGCCUGAGGGAGGAGGCCUAGCGACCCAUCCGGCGCCUCCCGCCCCGGGCACCCGCCCGCGGCCGCGCAUCCUGCGGGCCCCAGGAGGCCUCCAUCUCAAAACAACGUGUUUUUAGAGAACUCAAGGGCUGUGAAAAGAGCAGGACCUCACCAGCUGCACGGCGGUGGUGACUGGCUCCAUCUUGCUGUCCCUCCCAAUCACACAACAUCUCCCCUUGAAGGCUCUGCCCAGGCCCGGACUCCCACCUUUCAAGAUGUCUGGAUCAGUGCAGGACCUCCUCCUUGGCCACAUCGCUCUCCUUGGACUGGUUCAAGUGAUUCUCCCACCUCAGCCUCCCAAGUAGGAUUACAGGUACACACCACCACGCACAGCUAAUUGUUUUGUAUUUUAGGAAGAGAUGGGGUUUCAUCAUGUUAGCCAGGCUGGUCAGGUGAUCCAUCCGCCUUGGCCUCCCCAAGUGCUGGGAUUACAGGCGUGAGGCACUGUGCCCGGCCUGCCCCCCUUUUCUCUUGAUGUAAGUGGACAUUUUAAUCCAUAAUCUGUAACAUUUAUGUAUUAAGUUUACUACUAUCUUUGGUUUGCAGUGUUGACUCACCUGUGGAGUGGUCUGAGCCUGAAUGCCCGGGGCUGUGGCCACCGAGUGAACGGGCUGUGCUAAGGGGAAUUGCCACCUUGGGAAACCUGUGUAGUUGCGGCUUUUCUGAUUAAGUAUCAAUAAAAGUCUGACCUUGUGAAAAAAGCAAACGUGAGUGGCCCUGCUUAUGUUUCACCUUGCGUUGCUCAGUGAUAGUUCUGCAAAGUCGCAGGAAACCUGGAAUCAUCUAAUUAUCGUGAGUGUUGGUGAGUAACACCCAUAGGCACUGGCUCCCGGGGAAAUACAGAGUCAGGUUCCUCCGAGCCGCUGGCCACAGCAUUUUUGUUAAGCAGUUCCUUAUUUAAUAAUGUCUAGUUGAUUCAUUAACAUGGAAUUCAUGGCCAGUACCUCUGUCACUCAUGCCUGACUGAAGUUGAUCAGCACGUCUUUUUCUCCCUUAGGCACAUGACAGCCUUCUUGCAAUCAAGAAACUACGUGUGGCCAGGAUCUCAUCCACUAUCACAGUUUCAGCUUUCCCCAAACUGGAAUGUGUCUUUGCAGACGCCCAUCCUUAUUAAAGGGCAAAGACUUCUCAUACACCUAGGAUGGAUCUUAUAUUCUUGGCGGGACUGCAGAGAAGGUGCCGUGUCCUGAGUCCUCAUGUCAGGGCACAGGCUUCCAGCCAGUUCUACCUGGGUUAUGUUUAUCUCAAUUCCCUGGUGGUAUUGGUGUCUGCUGGGUUUUGCCAGAAUGAAGACACCGUGUUUUCAUUUGUCAGUUGAUUCGUAUUUUCCAGGAAGACAUUCUGAGAUUACAGCAUUGUCUUAGUCAAGGUGCUGCAGAAGGACAGAACUAAUAGGAUAUAUGUACAUAUGAAAGAAAGUUUAUGAAGAACUGGCUCACACCAUCACAAGGCAAAGUCCCAUGACAGGCCAUCUGCAAGCUGAGGAGCGAGGAAGCCAGCAGUGGCUCAGCCGGAGUCCAACAGCCUCAAACGGAAUCCAACAGUUCAGGCUUCAGUCUGUGGCCAAAUGCCCAGAGACCCCGGAAAGCUACUGGUGUUAGUCCCAGAGCCGGAAGGCCAAAGAACCUGGAGUGUGAUGUCCAAGGGCAGGAGGAAUGGACAGAAGCAUCCAGCAUGGGGUAAAGACGAAAGCCAGAAGACUCAGCAAGCUAGCUUACCUACUUUCUUCUGCCUGCCUUGUUCUAGCCGCGCUGGCAGCCGGUUGGAGGGUGCCCACCCCCACUGAGGGUGGAUCUUCCUCUCCUAGUCCACUGACUCAAAUUUCAGUCUCUCUGGGAGCACCAUCACACCAGAAACAAUACCAGCCAUCUAGCCACCCUUCAGUUCACCAUCACAACCAUUGUCUUAUUCAUGAAACUUCUGCAGACCCACCUUAACCUCCAUCGGUGACUUCUACCUGAAGCCCUCUGAUUGUUGCCCAGUGGUGCUUUUUAAAAUAAUUUCCAUAGUUUCUUCUACACCUUUAGUUGGCAUUCUACUGUAAAGGAGAGAUUUUAUUUUCUUACUCAUUUAUUUGUUAGUUUAUAGUCACCACCAUAUGGAUGCAGAGUUCUGUCUCAUUCACUGGGAAGUAUUCUAUUGCAGUCAUGAUUUAUUUUGAUGUUCACAUCCCAGAGUUGGUGAGUGAGCGCCCCUUCACGCUGGCUCCCGAGUGCUGACGUGUCCCCGUCCUUCUCUGCACUUUUCCUUACCUCCUGGCCUCAGAUAUUCCAGGGUCAUUUGUUCUCUCCCUGCUCCAACCCUGCAGUCAGCCAUCUCCCUAGGGACGUUGGUUCCUUUAUGGAAGGUGGCAUUUAGAAGCCAGGAUUUGGGCUGAGCACUGUGGCUCAUGCUUGUAAUCCCAGCACUUGGGGAGGCCGAAGUGGGCGGAUCGCUGGAGGCCAAGAGUCUGAGACCAGCCUGGCUAACAUGGUGAAACCCUUCCCCGUCUCUACUACAAAUAAAAAAUUAGCUGGGUGUGUUGGCACGUGCCUGUAAUCCCAGUUACUCAGGAGGCUGAAGCACCAGAAUCUCUUGAACCCAGGAGGCCGAGGUUGCAGUGAGCCAAGAUUGCACCACUGCACUACAGCUUGGGUGACAGCGCGAGACACCGUCUCAAAAAGGAUAAUAAUUUAAAAAACAGCAGGAUUUGGGUGAGCAGUGCGCUCAUUGCUUCUGGGCUCUCUCGGUGGACAUAGGCUAGGAAUGUAAGAUGUAUGUGCCUGUGUAUAUACACACGUCUGUAGCUAUGUCUAUGUUGCAUACAUGUGUUUUUCCAAAAACCAAAUCCAUAACCAUGCCUUCAGUUUCAGCCCAACACCUCCGGGCUCUUUCUAGCUUUCUACCUUUCAUGAUUGUGAAUACCUUCUCCAGCAGUGAGAAACCUGGCUCCUUUGUCCUCAGUGGAUUUUCUUAUUUGCUCAAUUUUUUUGUUUUUUGUUUUGUUUUUGUUUUUGAGACAGAGUCUUGUUCUGUCACCCAAGCUGGAGUGCAGUGGCAUAAUCUCGGCUUACCGCAACCUCUGCCUCCUGG
rnacentral:lncRNA from 10 species